rnacentral:rRNA from 1 species
GAUGAACGCUGGCGGCGUGCCUAAUACAUGCAAGUCGAGCGAACAGAUGAGGAGCUUGCUUCUCUGACGUUAGCGGCGGACGGGUGAGUAACACGUGGAUAACCUACCUAUAAGACUGGGAUAACUUCGGGAAACCGGAGCUAAUACCGGAUAAUAUAUUGAACCGCAUGGUUCAAUAGUGAAAGACGGUUUUGCUGUCACUUAUAGAUGGAUCCGCGCCGCAUUAGCUAGUUGGUAAGGUAACGGCUUACCAAGGCAACGAUGCGUAGCCGAUCUGAGAGGGUGAUCGGCCACACUGGAACUGAGACACGGUCCAGACUCCUACGGGAGGCAGCAGUAGGGAAUCUUCCGCAAUGGGCGAAAGCCUGACGGAGCAACGCCGCGUGAGUGAUGAAGGUCUUCGGAUCGUAAAACUCUGUUAUUAGGGAAGAACAAAUGUGUAAGUAACUAUGCACGUCUUGACGGUACCUAAUCAGAAAGCCACGGCUAACUACGUG